rnacentral:rRNA from 1 species
GACCUGAGCUCAAGCAAGACCACCCGCUGAACUUAAGCAAUCAA